rnacentral:rRNA from 1 species
UUGGAGGGCAAGUCUGGUGCCAGCAGCCGCGGUAAUUCCAGCUCCAAUAGCGUAUAUUAAAGUUGUUGCAGUUAAAAAGCUCGUAGUUGAAUUUCGGGAUCAAUUUAUCGGUCGUGCCUCUGGUAUGCACUGGUAUUAUUGAUUUCUACCUUCUGACGAACCAUGAUGUCAUUUAUUUGGUGUCAUGGGGAAUCAGGACUGUUACUUUGAAAAAAUUAGAGUGUUUAAAGCAAGCACACGCUUGAAUACAUUAGCAUGGAAUAAUGAAAUAGGACGUUUGACCCUAUUUUGUUGGUUUCUAGGAUCGACGUAAUGAUUAAUGGGGAUAGUUGGGGGCAUUAGUAUUCAAUUGUCAGAGGUGAAAUUCUUGGAUUUAUUGAAGACUAACUACUGCGAAAGCAUUUGCCAAGGAUGUUUUCAUUAAUCAAGAACGAAAGUUAGGGGAUCGAAGACGAUCAGAUACCGUCGUAGUCUUAACCAUAAACUAUGCCGACUAGGGAUCGGAUGAUGUUAAUUUUUUAAUGACUCAUUCGGCGCCUUACGGGAAAC